UAGCUCAGUUGGUAGAGCAGUUGACUUUUAAUCAAUUGGUCGCAGGUUCGAAUCCUGCACGACCCACCAAUUUCAGCAUUUAACUCAGAUGCUGAACGUGAAGGAUAACGUUGCGUCAGCAACGGCCCGAAGGGCGAGGCAAAGCCGAGUCAUCCAGCACGACCUACCA
rnacentral:sRNA from 1 species